UACGAAGGGGGCUAGCGUUGCUCGGAAUCACUGGCGUAAAGCGCACGUAGGCGGAUCUUUAAGUCAGGGUGAAAUCCCAAGCUCAACCUUGGAACUGCCUUUGAUACUGGGGAUCUCGAGUCCGGAAGAGGUUGGUGGAACUGCGAGUGUAGAGGUGAAAAAUUCGUAGAUAUCGGGGGAGGAACACCAGUGGCGAAGGCGGCGAUCUGGGGGAAGAUACUGACGCUG
rnacentral:rRNA from 1 species